GGCUACCUGGCGCAAUGGUAGCGCGUUUGGCUUCGAUCGCCUCACGUGAUAGAUUCCAACCAAAAGGUUGCAGGUUCGAGUCCUGCGGUGGUCA